rnacentral:tRNA from 1 species
GUGGCCAUAGCUCAGUUGGUAGAGCACCGGAUUGUGAUUCCGGUUGUCGCGGGUUCAAACCCCGUUGGUCACCCCA